GAUGAACGCUGGCGGCGUGCCUAACACAUGCAAGUCGAACGGAAAGGCCCGGCUUUUGCUUUUUUCUCGUUUGGCGAACGGGGGAGUAACACGUGAGUAACCUGCCCUUGACUUUGGGAGAACUUCAGGAAACUGGGGCUAAUACCGGGUAGGAUCUUCUGCUGCGUGGUGGGGGUUGGAAAGUGUCGGCGGUGGUGGCUGGACUAGCUGCUAAUCCGCUUGUUUGGGGGGUAGUUGCUUACGAAGGCUUAGACGGAUAGCCGGCCUGAGAGGGUGACCGGGCACAUUAGGCCUACGGUACGGACCAGAAUCCAAUGGGAGGCAGCAGUGGAGAGUCUUACACAAUGGGGGGAAGCGUGUUACAGAGAUGCCGGGUGCGGGAAGCCCGCCUUCGGGUUGUAAACCGCUUUCGCCUGUGACGAAGAGUGCGUGACGGUAAUGAGUCAAGAAGCAACGGCUAACUACGUG
rnacentral:rRNA from 1 species